UACGGAGGGAGCUAGCGUUGUUCGGAAUUACUGGGCGUAAAGCGCACGUAGGCGGCUUUUUAAGUCAGGGGUGAAAUCCCGGGGCUCAACCCCGGAACUGCCCUUGAAACUGGAGAGCUAGAAUCUUGGAGAGGCGAGUGGAAUUCCGAGUGUAGAGGUGAAAUUCGUAGAUAUUCGGAAGAACACCAGUGGCGAAGGCGACUCGCUGGACAAGUAUUGACGCUGAGGUGACGAAAGCGUGGGGAGCAAACAGG
rnacentral:rRNA from 1 species